rnacentral:rRNA from 1 species
GUGGGGAAUAUUCCGCAAUGGACGAAAGUCUGACGGAGCAACGCCGCGUGAGUGAUGAAGGUUUUCGGACUGUAAAGCUCUGUUGUUUAGGACGAAAGUGCCUGUUGCAAAUAGUUACAGGUAUUGACGGUACUGAACGAGGAAGCCACGGCUAACUACGUGCCAGCAGCCGCGGUAAUACGUAGGUGGCAAGCGUUGGCCGGAAUUAUUGGGCGUAAAGAGCAUGUAAGCGGGAAUCUAAGUCUGUUGUGAAAAUGCGGGGCUCAACCCCGUAUUGCGAUGGAAACUGGGUUUCUUGAGUGCAGGAGAGGAAAGGGGAAUUCCCAGUGUAGCGGUGAAAUGCGUAGAUAUUGGGAGGAACACCAGUGGCGAAGGCGCCUUUCUGGACUGUGUCUGACGCUGAGAUGCGAAAGCCAGGGUAGCGAACGGGAUUAGAUACCCCAGUAGUCC